rfam:Anabaena sp. 90 chromosome chANA01, complete sequence.
UGAGUAAGUCAGCUUAAUCCAGUACAUUUCAGUUAAUAGUGCUGGAACGGAGGAACCAAAUUGUGGGGCGUAUUUUUGUCUUGAUGAGUUUAGGAAUUUAAGCUUUAAAACUCAAAUCAAAUCUAAAAUUGAGCAAAAAAGGGGAUCUCUCAACCCUAGCCCGUCAGCUAACUUCGUAGGCAUUGAGAGGAGACUGA